rnacentral:rRNA from 1 species
UUGACCUCAAAUUAGGUAGGACUACCCGCU